rnacentral:rRNA from 1 species
UACGAAGGGGCUAGCGUUGCUCGGAAUCACUGGGCGUAAAGCGCACGUAGGCGGAUUGUUAAGUCAGGGGCGAAAUCCUGGAGCUCAACUCCAGAACUGCCUUGAUACUGGCGAUCUCGAGUCCGGGAGAGGUGAGUGGAACUGCGAGUGUAGAGGUGAAAUUCGUAGAUAUUCGCAAGAACACCAGUGGCGAAGGCGGACUCACUGGGACGGUACUGGACGCUGAGA